rnacentral:rRNA from 1 species
CCAGACUCCUACGGGAGGCAGCAGUGGGGGAUAUUGGACAAUGGGGGAAACCCUGAUGCAGCGACGCCGCGUGAGUGAAGAAGUAAUUCGUUAUGUAAAGCUCUAUCAGCAGGGAAGAAAAUGACGGUACCUGAGUAAGAAGCCCCGGCUAACUACGUGCCAGCAGCCGCGGUAAUACGUAGGGGGCAAGCGUUAUCCGGAUUUACUGGGUGUAAAGGGAGCGUAGACGGCAGUGCAAGUCUGGAGUGAAAGGCGGGGGCUCAACCCCCGGACUGCUCUGGAAACUGCGUCGCUGGAGUACGGGAGGGGCAGGCGGAAUUCCUGGUGUAGCGGUGAAAUGCAUAGAUAUCACGCAGAACUCCGAUUGCGAAGGCAGCGCACCGGCGCCCUACUGACGCUCAGGCACGAAAGCGUGGGUAUCGCACAGGAUUAGAUACCCCCGUAA